rnacentral:rRNA from 1 species
UACGUAGGGGGCUAGCGUUGUCCGGAAUCAUUGGGCGUAAAGAGCGUGUAGGCGGCUUGGUAAGUCCGCUGUGAAAGUCCAGGGCUCAACCCUGGAAUGCCAGUGGAUACUGUCAAGCUAGAGUCCGGAAGAGGCGAGUGGAAUUCCUGGUGUAGCGGUGAAAUGCGCAGAUAUCGGGAAGAACACCCGUGGCGAAGGCGGCUCUCUGGGACGGUACUGACGCUGAGACGCGAAAGCGUGGGGAGCGAACAGG